CUUACAGACAAUCGCUGGACAAAAUAGGAGCGAUAAAGGUCAUAGGUGAGGUGUAAAAAACAAACAAAAUAUAAUAUUGAGAUUGACUUGGCAAGAAAAAAGCUGUGCGGGACAUCCCUGGGCCAGCUCUAAAUCCAGUAGAACAACAUCUCAAAGUACAAAGGUAAUGGCUGUAGGUUAGCGAGUGCCACGGGGCUGUCGCUUGUGUACGUGAACAGAAACAGUCAAGUGACAGCAGUGUGAAGUAGUCUAGAUAAUGGUCAAGAUAUGGGAACCGGUAGACCCCUCCUAGUGUACCAUAUCCCAGAGCAGACGAUAGUGCGCGAAAAGCAGAGCACGCGCGGACGACGGUCCAUGUACUUUUGUUUGUUCAUCAUCAAUGUUUUGUGUGUUGUCGUGCUAUGGAACAUUUACAAAUUCAAUAUGUACCUGAACAUUGUCAUUGCUGUAACGAAUAAUUUCAAGGUCGAUAUGGAAAAGCUUGGGGAUCUACAUCCGAUGUUUUGGGAUAAAAUCCGAGGACGGGUAACGUGUUCAGUAGGGCCCACCAAUUUGCAUCAAGAUCAACCUCAAGGCCGAUGUGGAACAUCUCGGGAAUCUUCAUCCCACUUCACUGGAUAAAAUUCGAGCACGAGCGUGUUUGGGCUCUCUACCCAGUUCCGUGCGCUACUCACAUUACAUGUAUAAGCUUUGCGUAACGCGCCCUCUGGUGAAAGAAUGGUUUUGGGCUCUCUUUUGAACUCUCUUACAUACAUAUUAUGCGUGGUACUGUUUCAUGAGCUCAGAAAAGAUAUAAUAAAAUCUUCUUCAUGUUUUA